rnacentral:rRNA from 1 species
AGAGUUUGAUCCUGGCUCAGAUUGAACGCUGGCGGCAGGCCUAACACAUGCAAGUCGAACGGUACAGGAAGCAGCUUGCUGCUUCGCUGACGAGUGGCGGACGGGUGAGUAAUGUCUGGGAAACUGCCUGAUGGAGGGGGAUAACUACUGGAAACGGUAGCCAAUACCGCAUAACGUCGCAAGACCAAAGAGGGGGACCUUCGGGCCUCUUGCCAUCGGAUGUGCCCAGAUGGGAUUAGCUAGUAGGUGGGGUAACGGCUCACCUAGGCGACGAUCCCUAGCUGGUCUGAGAGGAUGACCAGCCACACUGGAACUGAGACACGGUCCAGACUCCUACGGGAGGCAGCAGUGGGGAAUAUUGCACAAUGGGCGCAAGCCUGAUGCAGCCAUGCCGCGUGUAUGAAGAAGGCCUUCGGGUUGUAAAGUACUUUCAGCGGGGAGGAAGGGAGUAAAGUUAAUACCUUUACUCAUUGACGUUACCCGCAGAAGAAGCACCGGCUAACUCCGUGCC